rnacentral:rRNA from 1 species
GAUGAACGCUGGCGGCGUGCCUAACACAUGCAAGUCGAGCGAACGGACGAGAAGCUUGCUUCUCUGAUGUUAGCGGCGGACGGGUGAGUAACACGUGGAUAACCCACCUAUAAGACUGUGAUACCUUCGGGACACCGUAGCUACUACCUGCUAAUUUUUUGAACCGCAUGGUUCACAAGUGAAAUACGGCCUUGCUGUCACUUAUUGAUGGAUCCGCGCUUCAUUAGCUAGUUGGUAAGGUAACGGCUUACCAAGGCAACGAUGCAUAGCCGGCCUGAGAGGGUGAUCAGCCACACUGGAACUGAGACACGGUCCAGACUCCUACGGGAGGCAGCAGUAGGGAAUCUUCCGCAAGGGGCGAAAGCCUGACGGAGCAACGCCGCGUGAGUGAUGAAGGUCUUCGGAUCGUAAAACUCUGUUAUUAGGGAAGAACAUAUGGGUAAGUAACUGGGCAGAUCAUGACGGUACCUAAUCAGAAAGCAACGGCUAACUACGUG